rfam:Oryza nivara chromosome 4, whole genome shotgun sequence.
AGAUGUGGAUGAUGAAAUCACAAGUGAAAAUACAGUUAUCCCUGUCUGAUUCCUUCAUAAGGGUGCUGAGAAUACUUUAAUCUGACACAGUU